AAAAUUUACUGGCAGGGGAGAUACUAUGACCACAAAGUGGUUUUCCCAGGGCAAGGGUCAUCCAUUGCACCCCAGAUGUGCUGACCCCUGCGAUUUGAUUUCCCCAAUUGUAGGACACUCUACUGUAUAAUUUGUGGUAGUGGGAGAUUGUAUUCACACUCUCCCC